rnacentral:rRNA from 1 species
UCGGGUUGUAAACCUCUGUUAGCAUCGAAGAAGCGAAAGUGACGGUAGGUGCAGAGAAAGCGCCGGCUAACUACGUGCCAGCAGCCGCGGUAAUACGUAGGGCGCGAGCGUUGUCCGGAAUUAUUGGGCGUAAAGAGCUUGUAGGCGGUUGGUCGCGUCUGCUGUGAAAGGCUGGGGCUUAACCCUGGUUUUGCAGUGGGUACGGGCUAACUAGAGUGCAGUAGGGGAGACUGGAAUUCCUGGUGUAGCGGUGGAAUGCGCAGAUAUCAGGAGGAACACCGAUGGCGAAGGCAGGUCUCUGGGCUGUAACUGACGCUGAGAAGCGAAAGCAUGGGGAGCGAACAGGAUUAGAUACCCUGGUAGUCCAUGCCGUAAACGUUGGGCACUAGGUGUGGGGGACAUUCCACGUUUUCCGCGCCGUAGCUAACGCAUUAAGUGCCCCGCCUGGGGAGUACGGCCGCAAGGCUAAAACUCAAAGAAAUUGACGGGGGCCCGCACAAGCGGCGGAGCAUGCGGAUUAAUUCGAUGCAACGCGAAGAACCUUACCAAGGCUUGACAUAUACUGGACUGCGUCAGAGAUGGCGUUUCCCUUCGGGGCUGGUAUACAGGUGGUGCAUGGUUGUCGUCAGCUCGUGUCGUGAGAUGUUGGGUUAAGUCCCGCAACGAGCGCAACCCUCGUUCUAUGUUGCCAGCACGUGAUGG